CAGCCCCAGGCAAUGCUACGUGUUGUACUGAGGGACAUGGCACUUGGCAGUUAAAAAAAAGUGAAAAGUCCUUUUCCACACCUGAAUCUUAUGGAACAACUUAUUCGAUGACAUCCCCAAGCAAAUGGAAGAAAAUAAGGUUAUCAGGAGUAGUUAGGAUGGGUUCACCAAUGGGAAAUCAUGCCUGAUCAGUCUGAUAGUCUCCUAGGAUUUCAUGUCUGGCUGGAUUGAUGAGGUGUGGGUGGACGACCGACCCAGGGAGGUCAUGUUUAUCCCCCCCUGGGUCACUGCGAGCAAAACAGCUACUAUGGAUCACUGUCUCACACACAAUAAUGACAGGAUUAGACAAAAGGAAUGCAGAGCUGCGAGAGAAAAUGCUGUGCCAGGUGCCAUGAGACAAGCUGCAAGCAACUGCAAGUUAUGAGAACCGCGCCUUGUUGUACUUAGCAUGCUAUGUGUACCUCUCUGUAUAAAUGGCUGUGUGCAGUUAUUAAAUGGCUUGGCUACUAGUAACCAGA